GCCAAUGCUACACUUCCUUAGCUAGGAGCUAGCAAUGCUACGUGGAAUUGCAUGUCGAAAAUAUUUAAAAAGUCAACCUGCCAUCUCUCCUGCCCUGCUCGUCCAAGUUCCCACUCUAGUUCCAGUACUGGCAGGCUUCACCACUAUAUCCCAGCAGGGUCCUGCUUGGCAUGUUCUCCCAGGUAUCUUCUGAGAGGUUGUUCUCUCUCCACUUCUCAUUCAAGUCUGAAGAUGCUUACAGUCACCUGCAGUACUUCUAAAUCAGAGUUUUGAGAUGGAAGAGGUCACAGCUCCAAUGAUCUCAGCCGAAGAAGAUGAGGAAGAAGACCAGCACAAGUGAGUCUCUCUCAAAUCAGCUUUUGCUGGUAUCAGGAUUUCUCUGGAGGACUCAACAAAGUCCUCUCCAUGCCUGAGAUUCCUACAAUGAUUGAAAUUCCAUUGUUUCUUCCCCGUGGGUAUGUAUUUCUGCCUUUGGACGGACAACUUCAGUCCAGCUUUCACAUGUCCCUCAGAACCACUCUGUGCAGAUUGUGACCUGAUGCUUCUAACACACUGUCCUUCACCAGUCCCUAUGCCCUCAACCCCUACACUCUAUCAUACACAUCUUACUGGACAAAAUGCCUACUUGUGUCAUUCACUUCUUGCUGGACAUGCUGAGGUUUUGGAUAACCUGUCCAUCUUUCAGUCUCAGCUGUUCCAAAGGUGCAGGCUCUCACACUCUCCAGUGCUUCAGCCCCUUCACGUUUCACAUAUAUUUCACCUGAGUGAUUAUUUUAGAUUCUGACAGUGUGGAUUCAUCACGGUGUUUCAUUUGGUUGGUUUUAUAUCGCAUUUCUGUUUUUACCAAGAAAACUCAUUUUUUCCUCUAAAACUCAUCUUAAUGUUGCUUCCCAGUAAAGACUUCUCUGUUAGUA
rnacentral:lncRNA from 1 species